AAGGCAGCCAGAGAAAACGUGUGGAAUUUGCCCCACAUCGGAGCCCAGCCAGGGGAAUCAGAGCCGCCAGCCUGCAGGGGUAGAGCGCCCCCGUGUUCCAGCGCUGCCCAGGGCUCCUUGCUCACUCCCUUCUCGCUGGCUGCCCCUCAUGCAGCGGCCUACACCCCACACCCAGCUGUGCUCCACCCUGCAGGCCGAGCGGGCUCGCGGCUCUUCCUAAGCCACGGUGGCUUUUUCCAGCGCUGCUCGACAAUGGAAAGAACAUUUGUGGUAGCCACGUGCAGAAUUUUAAACAGAGAAUCUGAAAACUGUCCCUGGGACUCCAACUGAGAAGUGGCUGUCACUGGGGCAGCACAAAUGCGAGGCCAGGAGCCGGGGAUUUGGAGGGAGACCAAGCUGGGUCCAAGGUCCAGCACUACCUCGUGGUAGCUGUGCUGCCUUAGACACGGUUCUUCUUUUCAUGCUGAAGUUUCCUCCUCUAUAAAAGCAGGGAUGUUACCACAUGUUCGGAUGCCAGUGGGUUGAACUACCAGAAAUGGAAAAUUUGAUGAUGUCCUGAAAGACGCUGAAUCCUUCAACAGGAACGAGGAACAAGACCCAAAAUACAGGUGACGGCUUGCCCCGGGAUGAGACAGCAAUGGCUCAUCCUUUGCAACAAGAGGAAGUGCAAAGUUUGAAAUAUAGUUGCAUGAAAUAUUCCUGGAUGCUUAGGGAAAUGGCUUCUCUUCUCCAGAAAACUUCUAAACAUUCAACUUAAGCUCCUAUUAAAUGGCUCAGCUGGG